CGUGCCCGGAACCUCCGCGUCUGAAACCUCUCUGCUCCUGAAUCUCUCCUCCCCGCAUUCACUCUUGACAGCCCUGACCCUGGAAUCUGCACCCCACCUCCAGUUCCAUCCUUGGUGGGGGUGCAGUGGCGAGCUCACUCAGCAUUUCCUGGUCCCUGGCCUCCCCCUCUCCACCCCCAGUGGCUCAGCGGGAUGUCUCCAGGCACCCCCCACCUGGGCUUGGCCCUCUGCUUGGGGCGGAGCUUCCAGGACGUGCUGGGACCUAGAUCUGACCCCGCCCAAGCUGGAGUUGAACCCACUGUGAACUUUCAGGCAUCAGGACCCAAAAAAGGGCCUAGAAAAUAGGGUUUGUGACCAACUCAGUUUACCACUGGAGGCUAUAUGAGCAAACAGAAAACUGUUCUGGUGAAAGCAAGAUGUUGGAAAACUGACAACUGCAUCUGCCACCAGAAAAGGUGCUGAGGGCAGUCACGCCUCAAGCGCAGUGUUCCUUGUGAUUAUCCAAAAGAACAUCUGAAGCCUGUUGUACAAAGAAAGCAAUUAUAUGUACCUGUGAUAAAUCAAACAGUUGAUCAACCGUUACCUCU